UAGGGAAUCUUCGGCAAUGGGGGGAACCCUGACCGAGCAACGCCGCGUGAGUGAAGAAGGUUUUCGGAUCGUAAAGCUCUGUUGUUAAGGAAGAACGAGUGUGAGAAUGGAAAGUUCAUGCUGUGACGGUACUUAACCAGAAAGGGACGGCUAACUACGUGCCAGCAGCCGCGGUAAUACGUAGGUCCCGAGCGUUGUCCGGAUUUAUUGGGCGUAAAGCGAGCGCAGGCGGUUAGAAAAGUCUGAAGUGAAAGGCAGUGGCUCAACCAUUGUAGGCUUUGGAAACUGUUUAACGUGAGUGCAGAAGGGGAGAGUGGAAUUCCAUGUGUAGCGGUGAAAUGCGUAGAUAUAUGGAGGAACACCGGUGGCGAAAGCGGCUCUCUGGUCUGUAACUGACGCUGAGGCUCGAAAGCGUGGGGAGCAAACAGG
rnacentral:rRNA from 1 species